rnacentral:rRNA from 1 species
UACGUAGGGACCAAGCGUUGUUCGGAUUUACUGGGCGUAAAGGGCGCGUAGGCGGCAAUUCAAGUCAUCUGUGAAAUCUCCGGGCUUAACUCGGAACGGUCAGGUGAUACUGUUUUGCUAGAGUGCGGAAGGGGCAAUCGGAAUUCUUGGUGUAGCGGUGAAAUGCGUAGAUAUCAAGAGGAACACCUGAGGUGAAGACGGGUUGCUGGGCCGACACUGACGCUGACAGCGCGAAAGCCAGGGGAGCAAACGGGG